GCCGGCGUGGCGGAAUUGGCAGACGCGCUGGACUCAAAAUCCAGUGUCCUCACGGACGUGCCAGCUCGACUUUGGUCGCGGGCAUCA
rnacentral:tRNA from 1 species